rfam:Dipodomys ordii contig_39902, whole genome shotgun sequence.
GGUGGCUCAGUGGUAGAGCACUUGCCUUGCACGCCUGAAGCCCUAGGUUCGAUUCCUCAGCACCA